AUUCCGGUUGAUCCUGCCGGAGGCCAUUGCUAUCGGGGUCCGAUUUAGCCAUGCUAGUUGUACGAGUUUACACUCGUAGCAAAUAGCUCCGUAACACGUGGCCAAACUACCCUACAGAGAACGAUAACCUCGGGAAACUGAGGCUAAUAGUUCAUA
rnacentral:rRNA from 1 species